rnacentral:snoRNA from 1 species
GGCCUCCUGGUGCUUACCACAGGCUGUGUUUUUAUACUGACUGUAUAGAAAGAGGAGGCAGAGCAAACCCGCCCCAUGUACACCUCAGCUCAGGCCACUGUGCCUGGUCUGUAUUGUGAACGGGGAGACAUGG